rnacentral:rRNA from 1 species
CAAUAGCGUAUAUUAAAGUUGUUGCAGUUAAAAAGCUCGUAGUUGGAUUUCUGGUUGAAGCGACCGGUCGGGCGUUGAUUCGUCUGCACUGGAGUCGGUUUUGGCCAUCCUCUAGGAAAGUGCGUCUGGUAUUAAGUUAUCGGGCGUAUGAUCCUGGUCUUUUACUGUGAAAAAAUUAGAGUGUUUAAAGCAGGCCUUCGCCUUGAAUACAUUAGCAUGGAAUAAUAAGAUAGGACUUUGGUCUAUUUUGUUGGUUUGCAGACCGAAGUAAUGAUUAAUAGGGAUAGUUGGGGGUAUUUAUAUUCCGAUGUCAGAGGUGAAAUUCUUAGAUUUUCGGAAGAUAAACUUAUGCGAAAGCAUUUACCAAGGACGUUUUCAUUA